GGCAAUUAUUUUUAAAAUACCUGAGUAGUAACAGCUAUGUUCUAAAAAUUUGAAAAAUUUGGCGGUGGUUUAGUCUUGUCAGAGGAACCUGUCUUUUAAACGAUACACCACGAAAUAUCUUACUUGAGUUUGUAUAGUAUGUAUACCAUCAUUAUUAGGUAAUUUUUAUAGAAUAAAUUACUGAAAAGUUUCGAUAAUGUUGAAUAUAUUAGAUCAAGGUGCAGCUGAUACUCAAGUUAAGGUGGGUUACAAUAGUAUUUACGCUAUUACGGAUAAAUAAAUGAAACUUUACUUUGAAGGAGGAUUUGAUUGUAAAUUUAGUUUAAUAAGCUAAUUUGAUAUAAGCUCUAAAGCAUGUACACACCGCCCGUCAAACCAUCCAAAA
rnacentral:rRNA from 1 species